rnacentral:lncRNA from 10 species
GGCUCCAGUUCGGGAGGCGUUACCUGCGGAGGGUUUGAGGAAGGCCCAGGAGCGAGCCCAUGGUCUUCCGACGCGGGGCCAGGGGCGGGCCCCAGGAUCCGGAGCUUCGGGGGGGCCGAGUCCGGGUUUGGGGCCCGGGAGGCGGGGCCAGUUAGGUCGAGGGUCCCUGGGAUCGUCGGGUCAGGCCUUGGGCUAACGUAGGCACUCUCGCAGUUCCUCCGCCUUCAGGAAGGUCUUUUUAGCAGGGGCCUUACGGGUGCAUGCUUCGGUCCUGGAGGACUUAGGCUAGCCUCCUCUCCAUCAGCGCCACCCGUCUGGGGCCCGAAAGGAGGGAGCUUUCCCUCUGUCCCCCAGCCUUUGGACUGUCACCAAACAAGCCAUUCGUUCACCAAAUACUUUUUAAGCGCCUACCAUGUGCCUGACAAGGGAUAUGUAACGGUGAGAAAAACUAGGUGUGGUCCAGGCCCUUCAGGGACUCAGGGGCUCGUGGAAGAAGUGGAUAUUGAAGUACUUAUCACACAAAGGAGGAUAAAAGUACGAUAGCGAUAUCUACCACGAAGCUGUUGUUCCACACCAGAACCAAAUGAGCGCAAGAUCUGACAAAAAAAAAAGUCCCUGUAUCCUGAGAUGGAGUCACCUGAGAAUCCACAGCAAGUCCUAACCAGGGAUGGGUCUGGGUGAUUAAGGAAGAUUGGCUUCAGAACUGGGCCAGGGGCACUGCUUUGCUUUUGCUGUUUUGAUCAGCUCUCUGCCUGCAGGAGACGAGGAAAACCAAUGGGAACAGUCUACAGUUGUAUCCAGCAGCUCCAGAGAGACAGCGACCAGCAAGAAGGGGCCAUGAUGAUGGUGGUGGUUUUUUCAAAACGAAAAGGGGGAUAUGUAGGGAAAAGAAAGAGAGAUCAGACUCUUACAGACUCUUACUGUGUCUACAUAGAAAGGGAAGACAUAAGAGACUCCAUUUGGAAAAAGACCUGUACUUUAAACAAUUGCUUUGCUGAGAUGUUGUUAAUCUGUAGCUUUGCCCCAGCCACUUUGCCCCAACCACUUUGACCCAGUCUGGAGCUCACAAAAACAUGUGUUGUAUGAAAUCAAGGUUUAAGGCAUGUAGGGCUGUGCAGGAUGUGCCUUGUUAACCAAAUGUUUGCAAGCAGUAUACUUGGUAAAAGUCAUCACCAUUCUCUUGUCUCAAUAAACCAGGGGCACAAUGCACUGUGGAAAGCCGCAGGGACCUCUGCCCUUGAAAGCUGGGUAUUAUUCAAAGUUUCCCCCCAUGUGAUAGUCUGAAAUAUGGCCUCGUGGGAUGAGAAAGGCCUGACGGUCCCCUAGCCCGACACCCAUAAAAGGUCUGUGCUGAGGUGGAUUAGUCAAAGAGGAAAGACUCUUGCAUUUGAGAUAGAGGAAGGCCACUGUCUCCUGCCUGCCCCUGGGAACUGAAUGUCUCGGUAUAAAACACGAUUGUACAUUUGUUCAAUUCUGAGAUGGGAGAAAAACCGCCCUAUGGUGGGAGGUGAGACAUGUUUACAGCAAUACUGCCUUGAUAUUCUUUACUCCACUGAGAUGUUUGGGUGGAGAGAAACAUAAAUCUGGCUUACAUGCACGUUCAGUCAUAGUACCUUCCCUUGAACUUCAUUAUGACAUAGAUUCUAUUGCUCACAUGUUUGUUGCUGACCUUCUUAUUAUCACCCUGCCCUCCUACUACAUUCCUUUUUGCUGAAAUAAUAAAGAUAGUAUUCAAUAAAAACUGAGGGAACUCAGAGACCGGUGCCAGUGCAGGUCCUUGGUAUGCUAAGCGCCGGUACCCUGGGCCCACUGUUGUUUCU